CUUAAGGGAUUGCCCAAGGACAGGUUCAGAGAGCUCCUGGAAGUGGCAGCCCAGACUGUGGCCCCCAGUCUUGGUGAGAGUAACCUGAGGACCAUGGCUCCUCUGACUGCAAAGCUGGCAUCCGUAGCUGCCUCGCAUCCGUAGCUGCCUCCAGUGAGCCAGGGAGGGGAAAGUCCUUCCCGGGCAGGGCCAGUUGGGCAGUCCCAGCUCCAGUUGUGCUCAGCCAGGGCCCCGCCACAGGCUCUGCUCAGCCCAUGGAGCUGUGGAAGAGCAGCUCCAGAUAUGGAGGAAGGGGCUCUUCCAGUGACACUGGCUUUCAGAGAAGGUUCCCAAGACUCAGUGAGCCCUUGCAGAGGAAAGAAAUGCCUGUUGGGCAGAAUCUCUGCCAUCGUGAUGAUGAGGCCGGUUCCUGGUGUGAUUAGCAGAGAAUCUCUGGCCUCUUAGAAAGGUCUGGAAUGCAGCCAUUGUAUUCCACUGAUGGAUGGAAUGUGCCUCACUGCAGACGAUUUUAUAGCCUUCAGGCCUUAUAGGACUGUGUACAACUACCUCCUACCUCUCAACAACCACGGGAGGUAUCAGGUGAGUUCCUGGGUGAAGUCCUGGGCCCCUCUGCCUUGACUGCCCAUCAAUACAGACGGUAAAGAUGGAAGGAUGAAAGGCUGGGCCUCAGGUGGAAGGGCCUUGUGACGCCUCGUGAGCUAAUGGUUAAUUUCCACACCACUCUGAGAAGGUUCAUAAUAUUAAUGACAAUUCAAUGACAAGAAAGACAUUGAGACUGAGAAAGAUGUCCUACGUAUGGAUCAGGCUCACAGAGAGAACUUGUGACUGACUGGCCCAGGACUUGAACCCAAGUGUCUGACUUUGCAGGCUGUGUGUCCUGAUGGUUCCAGCUUCUCCCAGGCCCCUAUGCGGCCCUGGGAGUUUGACUGUGAGCCUUUCUCUGAGUCUCAGCGGGUGGAAAGCUCCCUCUACUGGGCAGCCAAGGAUCAAGAAAGUGAAAAUGAGCAGACAAAAGAAAUGCUUCAAACAUUGGAAACUGAGGACUCCCAGUCCCCGUAAACAAAGCCAAAGUUGCUCUUCUGCACAUGGGAAGAAACUGAACUGUUUGUCGCCACUGGGUGAAAAAGGAAGAGAAAAAAAAAAAGGCCUUUCACUUAAAGAACAUCUUUAUUUGAUCUCCAAUAUACAAUAUUACCUUUGAUUUAUAUAAAAAAAUCACAUUAUGGAGGACACAACUGGAAACCAGUUCAGGAGCAGCCAGUGGGUAACAACACAGGUUAUACUUACCCACUUAUUAGUUUAGGGGAAAAUCAUCAGUGGAAUUUGAGGCCAGUGAGGGUAAGGAACGGCAUUUCAACUUCCAAACCAACAUAAUUAUACUUGGGGAUACCAUAGUUAGUUAACCCAGCAAAAUGAAAUUGUAAGUUUCUGUCAAUAAAGAGCUCUCUCCACUUUC